UUGAUGACUCCUACCGAGUCAUGGAAUUCACCAGUGGUGACAAGUGCUGGAAUGGCCCUGAUAGAAGUAUGAAGGUUAGGCUCAGAUGCGGAUUGAAAAAUGAGCUUACUGACGUUGAUGAACCAAGCAGAUGCGAGUAUGUGGCUAUACUGUCGACUCCCGCCUUGUGCUCGGAAGAGAAACUUAAGGAAUUACAGGAAAAACUAGAGCAGAUGAACAGAAGCCAACCGCCUGGUCAUGACGAACUCUGAGUUGUCUGCAAACUUUUUCUUUUUUGAAGGGAAAUAUAGUUAUUUUUGGCGAUGGCUGCAUAUAGGCCAUCCAAAUCUGGUGAACAACAAUCGGCCUUGCAAUUAUUAAGAAUUUUUCGAGCUCGCUUCUUGGAGAUGUUGUAACUUAUUCCCCCUUAAAUUUG
rnacentral:misc_RNA from 1 species